rnacentral:pre_miRNA from 1 species
UCUUAUGGACCAGCAAAGAAACUGGUUUCUUGAGAUGGAAUCUAUCCCUGGUGAAAGUGUUGUGAA